rnacentral:snRNA from 13 species
GAAUGAUUGCUCUUUAGAUAUUUCUCUAGUAGGCUUUUCAUACAGAGAAGCCCCC